UACUUCAGAAAUCUCCCUAUUUCUUGACUUUUUAAAAUAUCCUGUCUCCUCUACUUAACUGAAAUUUACUUGAAAAUCAGGUUGUACCUAGUUCACUUUUGUGUCCUCUGCAUCUACCAUACUGCCGGGCCAAUGGUUGACCCUCUUUUGAUAUUCAUUGAAUGACCGACUUGAGUGUUGGGUAAGAACAUUAAGGUCAUAAUUACAUUGGAGGUGCUAGCUAAAGAUCAGGGCACCUUAACAUCUGAAGGUCACUGAAAGGUUUAGUUAAUAGUUGUGACAGGUAGAGAAAAUGAGGAGGGCACUGUUAAAGUCUUUUCUGUAUGACGGGCUUGUUAAUUAAACAGCAGAAUGUAGGAACCUGUGAACAUUGACUCCCUCCCCUAGAAAUGGGCUCCCUUUCUUAUUAAUUAAGUUGAAUGCAGUACACUGUAAAUCUCCCAAUGCUUAUUCCACUCAGUUCAUACAUACUAAUGAGGACACACGUAUGAGUGUGGUGGUGGAGGAGGAAAUCAUUUAUUCAGCAGUAGGAAAAAACAUAACAUCAGGACGUGGACCCCCUGCUGACUUUACACACAGUUUUCUUAAAGAUUUAUAUUGGCAGACUAGUUAAGUAACUGAGUGCAUUAGAUAAAGAGCAUGUCAUUGCAAAGGUUACAAGAGACUCUUCGUGUUUCUCCACUUAACAUCCUAUAGAUGAGGGUGGAAAGUGUGGACACAAUCUCUCCGGCUCUUUCCUCCACACGUAGCUACCAUGUUUAAGUUUUCUACUUCUAUCAAAAAUUUACAACAGAAUGUUCAGAGAACUUUCACCAUUCCCUGUAACUAUAGAAGACAAAUUUUGGUACGAGAUGACACAAUUACGUUUGUCUCCUUUACACUGAGUGUAUUUAACAUUUUAAAAUGUAGGCGAUAGUCUCAUUAGCUAAGAGAGAAAGUAUUCUGAAAACAUAAUCUCAGAUUUUAUGACUGGGCUUAUGUUAUUUACUAACUUCCAGAAAGAGGAAAAAGGGUAAGAAAAGUCCUCAAGUUAUUGUUUCAUCUGCAGGAAACGACUUGAGCUCCUCCUGGAAGUGAAAUAUGCAUUAUUUUCUACAAGCCCACAUGCUUGGUCAGCUCUGUUUGUAUCCUGCCUGAUGACAGUUUAAUGAUGGCAAAACUGAAACAGUGCAUGUGAAUUUCAUAGUAUAUCCACCUACUCUAUUGUGUUUUGAACAUCAGUCCAAACAAAAUUUUUAAAAACCUACAGAGAAAGCAUUUGUAUGUGUAUAUGUGUGUGUAUGUAUGUGUGUGUGAAUAUAUAAAUAUGGCUUUUAAAGUAUUUCAUAAAGAUAUUGAAAUGAAACAAUCUUCUCAUAAGAAAUCGGUGACACCUUCCUCAAGGCUGGACCUCUGCUGAAGAGAAGCAGGAGGAAGCUCUGCAAGGUGUGCAGAAAAUACUCAGCAAGUCUUGGAAGAAAUACAAUAUACGGCCAGGCGCGGUGGCUCACCCCUGUAAUCCCA
rnacentral:lncRNA from 10 species